UACGUAGGGUGCAAGCGUUAAUCGGAAUUACUGGGCGUAAAGCGUGCGCAGGCGGUUUUGUAAGACAGAGGGGAAAUCCCCGGGCUCAACCUGGGAACUGCCUUUGUGACUGCAAGGCUUGAGUGCGGCAGAGGGGGAUGGAAUUCCGCGUGUAGCAGUGAAAUGCGUAGAUAUGCGGAGGAACACCGAUGGCGAAGGCAAUCCCCUGGGCCUGCACUGACGCUCAUGCACGAAAGCGUGGGGAGCAAACAGG
rnacentral:rRNA from 1 species